rnacentral:rRNA from 1 species
AGGUGAGUAACGCGUGAGAAUCUAGCUUCAGGUCGGGGACAACCACUGGAAACGGUGGCUAAUACCGGAUGUGCCGAGAGGUAAAAGGCUUGCUGCCUGAAGAUGAGCUCGCGUCUGAUUAGCUAGUAGGUGUGGUAAGAGCGCACCUAGGCGACGAUCAGUAGCUGGUCUGAGAGGAUGAUCAGCCACACUGGGACUGAGACACGGCCCAGACUCCUACGGGAGGCAGCAGUGGGGAAUUUUCCGCAAUGGGCGAAAGCCUGACGGAGCAAUACCGCGUGAGGGAGGAAGGCUCUUGAGGAUUGUAAACCUCUUUUCUCAAGGAAGAAAAAAAUGACGGUACUUGAGGAAUAAGCAUCGGCUAACUCCGUGCCAGCAGCCGCGGUAAUACGGAGGAUGCAAGCGUUAUCCGGAAUGAUUGGGCGUAAAGCGUCCGCAGGUGGCAAUGUAAGUCUGCUGUUAAAGAGUGAGGCUCAACCUCAUAAGAGCAGUGGAAACUACAUAGCUAGAGUGCGUUCGGGGCAGAGGGAAUUCCUGGUGUAGCGGUGAAAUGCGUAGAGAUCAGGAAGAACACCGGUGGCGAAAGCGCUCUGCUAGGCCGCAACUGACACUGAGGGACGAAAGCUAGGGGAGCGAAUGGGAUUAGAUACCCCAGUAGUCCUAGCCGUAAACGAUGGAUACUAGGCGUGGCUUGUAUCGACCCGAGCCGUGCCGGAGCUAACGCGUUAAGUAUCCCGCCUGGGGAGUACGCACGCAAGUGUGAAACUCAAAGGAAUUGACGGGGCCCCGCACAAGCGGUGGAGUAUGUGGUUUAAUUCGAUGCAACGCGAAGAACCUUACCAAGACUUGACAUGUCGCGAAUCCUCUUGAAAGGGAGGAGUGCCUUCGGGAGCGCGAACACAGGUGGUGCAUGGCUGUCGUCAGCUCGUGUCGUGAGAUGUUGGGUUAAGUCCCGCAACGAGCGCAACCCUCGUUUUUAGUUGCCAGCAUUAAGUUGGGCACUCUAGAGAGACUGCCGGUGACAAACCCGGAGGAAGGUGGGGAUGACGUCAAGUCAGCAUGCCCCUUACGUCUUGGGCUACACACGUACUACAAUGCUACGGACAAAGGGCAGCGAGCUAGCGAUAGCAAGCAAAUCUCAUAAACCGUGGCUCAGUUCAGAUCGCAGGCUGCAACUCGCCUGCGUGAAGGAGGAAUCGCUAGUAAUUGCAGGUCAGCAUACUGCAGUGAAUUCGUUCCCGGGCCUUGUACACACCGCCCGUCACACCAUGGAAGCUGGCAACGCCCGAAGUCAUUACUCCAACCAUUCGUGGGGGAGGAUGCCGAAGGCAGUGCUGGUGACUGGGGUGAAGUCGUAACAAGGUAGCCGUACCGGAAGGUGUGGCUGGAUCACCUCCUUUUAGGGAGACCUACCCAACUUUGAAAUCAAUUGCAAACAGUCAAUAGAGACAAAGAUGGUCUACCCUAGGUCGGUCGAGAUUGGUGAAGAACUUUCAAAGUAUUCUGUGUUCGGUAAAUAAAAAUGAUUGCAAAGAUCAAUAGGUAAAUUCAGCAAUUGACGUGAAUAACAGUCAAACUGCUGGAAAUACGCCAGCCAGAACCUUGAAAACUGCAUAGUAACGCGAAAAAUAGCAGGCAGUCAAAAAAGUCAAAAGUCAAAAGUCAAAAGAAGGACCCAAAGACGAAAGACAAAAGACUGCAGAUGUGAAACCAAA